rfam:Methanobacteriaceae archaeon 41_258 PW_scaffold_967, whole genome shotgun sequence.
GGGCCCGUAGCCUAGCCUGGAUAGGGCAUCGGACUCCUAAUCCGAAGGUCCCGGGUUCAAAUCCCGGCGGGUCCG